rnacentral:lncRNA from 1 species
GUAAAUUUCCCGUGUCUUAAAAAAGUACUUUGCAAAGGUUGAUGGAACAUUUUGCUAAAGUGGUAAUUUCUUGAGUAAUAAUAGAUUCAGGCUUUAUAUUUGUAUAAAAAUUGUAAUGUUAGCAAGACCCUCUGAAUGUGUUUCAUUUGAGCAGAUAUAUGUUGUACAUCAGAAAUAGCUGUCAAAACUUCCCUUGCAGUCACAGGAGUCACAAUAGACAUAUCUAGCGCAUAAUUUAUUUUCUCCUAAAGUAGAUAUCCUAGAUGGAUAAGCUGACUCGAACCCUAAAUUACCUGUUUUCUGACAAUUAAGAGCUAUGGGAGGAUGAAUCCUACCCUCUGUUUUGAGAGACCUUGUUUUAAUGGCAGCAGGUUAAUAACUGGAACAAUUUAUAAAAAUAAUAGGACUAUAGGAUAAUGAUGCCUCUAGGGGAAUGCUUGGUGUGAAUGAGCUAAAAUAAAGAGAGAUUUUAUUUUAGUUGCUUGUGUUGUCAAGUACAAGAGAGAGAAGUUUGUAUAAGGAUUCUGAAAAAUACUAUCAGAAAAUAAAUUAUCUGAAAAACAUAUUUUUCUAGGUGGUGAACUUAUUACUUUGGUAUGGGGCUGAUCCCUUACUAAAAAAUCAGAUGGGAAGGUGUGCAUUAGAAGAAGCUUCUGACCCAUCUAUGAUGAAACUUAUUAAAAGUUAUUUGGCAAAAUCCAGAAGACACUCAAAAGCAGGUGGAGAUGAUUCAAAGAACAUGUUAAAUACUCAGUGUGUAGAAGAUACAAACCAGCGCCAGGUACAUCUUUACAAAGAAAUCUGAUUUGAUCAUAAAUUGUUAAGAGUUUGCUGACAGUCUUCAGUAAACUAAAGCAGAUGACUGCUUCUGAAGUUUGUUUCAAUUCUAGCACACAAUGUACUAGAUGUGUCCAGUAGGGACUGAGAGUGAUAGUCAGUAGUACUUGGGAUAAGGUACAGCCUGAUGAGGAUGCAAAACAGAGAGGCAGAUGUCUCAUGGAUGGUGGUUCUUGCUUUUUUUACAAGUGCUGCAGAGCUAAUUACAGGAAGCAUGGUACAUCAGUGCCUGUUUGUACUUGCAGAAAGCUUACUGAAACUGCCAUUUUUUGCCUGGCUUGUAGCAGUAGGAUAAUUAUGUCUUGCCUCUGUGUAGCGUAACUUGUGCUGGGCUUUGAGAGGAGAGAGUUGGAAAGACUUGUUG